AUUGAACGCUGGCGGCAGGCCUAACACAUGCAAGUCGAGCGGAUGAAGGGAGCUUGCUCCUGGAUUCAGCGGCGGACGGGUGAGUAAUGCCUAGGAAUCUGCCUGGUAGUGGGGGAUAACGUCCGGAAACGGGCGCUAAUACUGCAUACGUCCUGAGGGAGAAAGUGGGGGAUCUUCGGACCUCACGCUAUCAGAUGAGCCUAGGUCGGAUUAGCUAGUUGGUGGGGUAAAGGCCUACCAAGGCGACGAUCCGUAACUGGUCUGAGAGGAUGAUCAGUCACACUGGAACUGAGACACGGUCCAGACUCCUACGGGAGGCGGCAGUGGGGAAUAUUGGACAAUGGGCGAAAGCCUGAUCCAGCCAUGCCGCGUGUGUGAAGAAGGUCUUCGGAUUGUAAAGCACUUUAAGUUGGGAGGAAGGGCAGUAAGUUAAUACCUUGCUGUUUUGACGUUACCAACAGAAUAAGCACCGGCUAACUUCGUG
rnacentral:rRNA from 1 species